GUACACACCGCCCGUCACGUCACGAAAGUCGGUAACACCCGAAGCCGGUGGCCCAACCCCCUUGUGGGGAGGGAGCUGUCGAAGGUGGGACUGGCGUUUGGGACGAAGUCGUAACAAGGUAGCCGUACCGGAAGGUGCGGCUGGAUCACCUCCUUUCUAAGGAGCAUCUAGGCCGCCAGACAUUGUUUGGUGGUCCAGGGCCAUUACGUCGGCACACGUUCGACGGUGGUUGCUCAUGGGUGGAACGUUGAUUAUUCGGCACUCUCAGUCAUCUCGGGCUGCAAGUACUGUCCUUCGGGGCGUGGAAAGUUGAUCAUGAGUGGCGAGGGUGUUGGGCACGCUGUUGGGUGUCUGAGGGUACGGACCUGAGUGUCUGGAUCUUCAGUGCCGGCCCCGGUACAGCAUCACGUGAGUGGUGUGUGACGGGUGGUCGGUCGUUGUUUGAGAACUGCACAGUGGACGCGAGCAUCUGUGGCCAAGUUUUUAAGGGCGCACGGUGGAUGCC
rnacentral:misc_RNA from 1 species